rnacentral:rRNA from 1 species
CCUACGGGGGGCGGCAGUGAGGAAUAUUGGACAAUGGAUGGAAAUCUGAUCCAGCCAUGCCGCGUGCAGGAAGACGGCCCUAUGGGUUGUAAACUGCUUUUAUACGGGAGCAAUAAGGUCUACGUGUAGACUGAUGAGAGUACCGUACGAAUAAGCAUCGGCUAACUCCGUGCCAGCAGCCCCGGUC